rnacentral:misc_RNA from 1 species
CCGAGUUUACAACUCCCCAAACCCCUGUGAACAUACCUAUAUGUUGCCAUCGGCGGAUCAGCCCGCGCCCCGUAAAACGGGACGGCCCGCCGCAGGAUCCACAAACUCUGUUUUUAUUGUAACUUCUGAGUAACAAAACAAAUAAAUCAA